rnacentral:rRNA from 1 species
UACGUAGGGGGCAAGCGUUGUCCGGAUUUAUUGGGCGUAAAGAGCGUGUAGGCGGCUGGGUAGGUCUGCUGUGAAAACUCGAGGCUCAACCUCGAGACGUCGGCGGAAACCCUCCAGCUAGAGUCCGGAAGAGGAGAGUGGAAUUCCUGGUGUAGCGGUGAAAUGCGCAGAUAUCAGGAGGAACACCAAUUGCGAAGGCAGCUCGCUGGGACGUUACUGACGCUGAGACGCGAAAGCGUGGGGAGCAAACAGG